rnacentral:rRNA from 1 species
GAGUUUGAUCCUGGCUCAGAUUGAACGCUGGCGGCAGGCCUAACACAUGCAAGUCGAGCGGUAGAGAGAAGCUUGCUUCUCUUGAGAGCGGCGGACGGGUGAGUAAUGCCUAGGAAUCCGCCUGGUAGUGGGGGAUAACGCUCGGAAACGGACGCUAAUACCGCAUACGUCCUACGGGAGAAAGCAGGGGACCUUCGGGCCUUGCGCUAUCAGAUGAGCCUAGGUCGGAUUAGCUAGUUGGUGAGGUAAUGGCUCACCAAGGCGACGAUCCGUAACUGGUCUGAGAGGAUGAUCAGUCACACUGGAACUGAGACACGGUCCAGACUCCUACGGGAGGCAGCAGUGGGGAAUAUUGGACAAUGGGCGAAAGCCUGAUCCAGCCAUGCCGCGUGUGUGAAGAAGGUCUUCGGAUUGUAAAGCACUUUAAGUUGGGAGGAAGGGCAGUAAAUUAAUACUUUGCUGUUUUGACGUUACCGACAGAAUAAGACACCGGCUAACUCUGUGCCAGCAGCCG